rnacentral:lncRNA from 1 species
GACAGUGAACAGGCGUCAUGGAGGGAAUGCUGGAGUCUGUUACCCACGUAGCUGUUAUGCCAGAGGAAUGGGGUCCACAGUGGUCAGUGUGAGGCUCAGCCAGUGUGAGUGGAGGAAGCAAAGUUUGCACAGAGAAAGACGCAAGAGCACCAUGCUGAGCUCCCACUCCCUAUUCCAGCCUCACAGAGACCCAGUCACACCU